AAGUCGUAACAAGGUUUCCGUAGGUGAACCUGCGGAAGGAUCAUUAACACUUAUUAUUAUCCAAUAUCAAAAAUAAAACCAAACGGUCACUUAUCUCCUCCCUAUUUCGAAGCCGGAGACGGCUCGAUUAGGCUAACAUUUUUUAAAUCUUUUUUAAACCCCAUUUAAUUAUAUUAUAGCAAUAUGAUAUAAAAUCAACUCUUCGAUUUUGUCUAAACAACAAAAACGAACUAAACUAAAAUAUACAUUCGAUAUAUUUUUAUUUUACGAAAUAAUAUAUAUUUAUAAGAACAACUCUUAGCAAUGGAUAUCUUGGUUCUC
rnacentral:misc_RNA from 1 species